rnacentral:rRNA from 1 species
GUCUACAGUUAUGCCUUAAAUAAGCCUGAUCCUGUCUGAUCUCGAAAUCUAAGCAGGGUCGGGCCUGGUUAGUAUUUGGAUGGAAGAUCAUCUAGGAAGACCAGGUGCUGUAGACA